rnacentral:rRNA from 1 species
UUGACCUCGGAUCAGGUAGGGAUACCCGCUGAACUUAAGCAUAUCAAUAAGCCGGAGGAACU